AUUGAACGCUGGCGGCAUGCCUUACACAUGCAAGUCGAACGGCAGCACGGGAGCAAUCCUGGUGGCGAGUGGCGAACGGGUGAGUAAUAUAUCGGAACGUGCCCAGUAGUGGGGGAUAACUGCUCGAAAGAGCAGCUAAUACCGCAUACGACCUGAGGGAGAAAGGGGGGGAUCGCAAGACCUCUCGCUAUUGGAGCGGCCGAUAUCAGAUUAGCUAGUUGGUGGGGUAAAGGCCCACCAAGGCGACGAUCUGUAGCUGGUCUGGGAGGACGACCAGCCACACUGGAACUGAGACACGGUCCAGACUCCUACGGGAGGCAGCAGUGGGGAAUUUUGGACAAUGGGCGCAAGCCUGAUCCAGCAAUGCCGCGUGCAGGAUGAAGGCCUUCGGGUUGUAAACUGCUUUUGUACGGGACGAAACGGCCCUUUCUAAUACAGGGGGCUAAUGACGGUACCGUAAGAAUAAGCACCGGCUAACUACGUGCCAGCCGCCGCGGUAAUAC
rnacentral:rRNA from 1 species